UGCAAGCAUAUUCAAUCAAGUCACAAUCUAUACAUCAAACUGUUGCUAAGUUUAACUUUCACUGUACAUCUAUACAACUUAGCAUAAUUAAUCAAAAACUUUCAGAAGUAGGUUAAAAGAUUUAAAAGACCCAAUUCACCCCCCCUCUUGGGUUGUAUCUACUGGGCAACAAGUGGUAUCAGAGCAGGUGCUCUAAGAUUAAUUAUUGAUCUCACGAUCAAGAGCCAAAGAUCAUGACAACUCAAAUAGAUAGUUUUCUAGGAGAAGGACAAUCAAUUGAUACACCUCCACUAUUUAAUGGCAUAAACUAUACACAUUGGAAAAUACGCAUGCNN
rnacentral:lncRNA from 1 species